AGUCACUCAAUCAAAGAAUUGAUAGGACAGAAGAUGUUAGUAAUACCAACCAGACUUAACCUAAACAAUCUUUCUUGUGGGAGUGGAGAUAUCAGAAAGUGUGGGGGUAGACAUACUAUCGACGCACCUCAGCCCUCGGGAAAAACGAAUGGAAGUACAUCAUUGGAGAAAAACCAACAGCAGAAGUGCACCGGAGGAGGCAAUUUGCCUGGAAAUAAUAAUCCAUUCAUACAAACACAUUCACUCUAUGCCACUGGCGUUAUAUCUGAUAACUAGAGAUAAACAAUUGGAGACAUGCCAGAAU
rnacentral:lncRNA from 1 species